CAAGGAGAUGCUAUCCUGUGCUGCUGUGACCACCAGCAUUUGGGGAGAUGGAAGCUGCAUUUAAGGAUUCUGCCAGGUAGAAGAGAGAAGUGAUCCUUGACCCUUCAGUUCAUGGAGAGCUGGUUGGCACUUACUUUGGUUGGCCCAAAGAAAAUACAAUCAAGUGUGUGUGAAAGAGCAAGCACUGGGUCACAGCUCCAAGAGCAGCAGUAAGAAGCAUUCCUUCUCUGUAAAGCAAGGGGCUUAUGGGCAAAAUACAGCCAUUCUCAGACAGCUCAAUGAAACACACACAACCUGAACAAAACAGCACCAUGGCUUGUCCUUGUCGCAGCUCAAAGGAGGGAGCAGCUGCCUCUGCUACCCAGGCUGCACACUGCUGCAGCACAGCUAUUUCCAGGUGUGUUUUCCUCUACCAAACCUGCAGCAUAGAAAGCAAGCCCUGCCCGUUGUGUGGCUGGCUAAUCUCCUAUCACUCAUUCUUCCAUCCAGCAACAUAGCAUUGCGUGUUCUGUCUUUGGUAUCGCUGAAAUAAAGAGCAUAAUUUGAGACA
rnacentral:lncRNA from 1 species